AACGCACCUUGCGCUCCCGGCAGAUCUAAUCUGGGGAGCAUGCCUGUUUGAGGGCCGCGAAUUGUUUCGAGCAUCGACUUUUUUCUUGCAAAGGAGUCGGUGGAUCGGUAUUGAGGAUUUUGCCAUUCACCGUGGCUUCCUCGAAAAGCAUUAGCGCAUCCAUUCAAUAGGCAAGACGGACGAAAGCUCGUAUUUCGCCUUGUUCUUCCCUGCCGGGUUUUGAUAAUAUCAGGACUUCGGAGGCGAAGGCAAGGUUCAAGCUGGACGCAACGACUUGCUGGUUGGAGUGCUUCUAACCCCGCCCAUGCCAUUGCUUCGUGCAAAUGAAGGGAUUUUUUCAAUUCAUCGGCCUCAGAUUGGUAGGACUACCCGCUGAACUUAA
rnacentral:misc_RNA from 1 species